CUGCGCAGACUCGACUGCUCUGAGAAGGAUUUCUCUGGUAAAGAGAUCAGCGUGGAUCGUGUGGUUCUGGGAAUGCUUUCGCUCGUCCUCUGAGCCUCCUGAUUUGUUGGUGCUCGAGUUUUAUAGAAGCGCAAGUUAUUUUACUCACGGAUUCAUAAAUAGCGUGAGUUUAUUCAGUGCUCUGUCAUCCGUCAGCUUUUCCAAGUACCACCUGGACAGGUUGGCUUGAAGAAACAGAUUAUGCCGCUUUCCAACCCUUUGGCAGCUGGUGGAGCAUGGGCUAUCAGUCACGUAAUUGUAAUGUCACAUCAAGCACACGGAGGAACUAUGAUUGUGUAGAGCCCAUGGACAAGUGAUCUCCAAAAGAGCCUUGUGAAAUCCAGAUGUCCAGUUGCUCCAGCACCAUUCGUUGAAAAGGCUAUCUUUCCUACAAUGAAUUGCUUUUGCAUUUUUGUUAAAAAUUAGAGUGUUUGUGUCUAUUUCUGGGUCCUCUGUUCUGUUCUGUUCCAUUGAUCAAUAUGUCUACCUCUCUGCCAGUAUUAUACAAUCUUGAUUACUUUAGCUGUAUAAUAACUCUUACAGCUACAUCACAAGUACUACUAUAGCUAGUACUUUAUGUAAGUAUACUGUUUAUUUUUCAAAAUUGUUGCAAUUAUUUUUAUUC